GAGCAGGAGGUGGUGCUGGAGGAGGGUUUGGCAGUGGUGCUGGAGGUGGUGGUGGCUUGGGCGGUGGAGGCGGUGUCGGGGGAGGGUUCGGCAAAGGUUCUGGAGGAGGUGCUGGCUUGGGCGGUGGAGGUGGUGGAGGUUUCGGCGGUGGAGGUGGCAUCGGUGGUGGUCAUUGGUGAUGCAUCAAUGUAUGGACCCUUGAAGAGGAAGUGUGAUGCAGAUGAAUACUAAAGGUGCAAUAAUCUUAAGAAAGGUAUCAAAUGAAACCAUGUGAGGUUCAGAAAAUAAGGUCCGAAGCACCUUGAUGAUCUGCAUAUAUUGUUUGAUAAGAUACAUGUCAGUGGUGCUAGUGCUUCCUGCCCUGGAGAUAUAUCCUCUGAUGAGUCAAGUGAUGACGAUGUGAGUGAGGUAAAAAAACUCAAGACAUUGAUGAUGUGAAGCUGGUUGCUUUGAAGAAAUCAAAGCCAGGGAAGAAGAAACACAAGGAAUACUCUAGUUCUAUUGAAGAAAGGAUGAAAAAAGAGCUCAUUCUUUCAACUGUACAAGAACACAUGUUUGAAGAUAGAAACUGCUGCAGAUAAGAUAUCCUCAAGUGUUGAAGCUUCAUCAGCUCCUCCAACCAAUCCAGUCCCAAGCAUUUUAGAGGCCAAGAAGAUGGUGAAAGAUUGUGGAGUGCAAGAAAAAAUUGCUCUAAUGCACACAACCACCUUUCUGAUCGUGAAAGGAGGUUUCCAAAUGAAGGAAGGUUCGAUUUGUUUAAGAGGGAGUAUGAAAAGGAGUUGUUCAAGCGUCA